UACGAAGGGGGCUAGCGUUGUUCGGAGUCACUGGGCGUAAAGCGCACGUAGGCGGAUUCUUAAGUCAGGGGUGAAAUCCCGAGGCUCAACCUCGGAACUGCCUUUGAUACUGGGGAUCUUGAGUUCGGGAGAGGUGAGUGGAAUUGCGAGUGUAGAGGUGAAAUUCGUAGAUAUUCGCAAGAACACCAGUGGCGAAGGCGGCUCACUGGCCCGAUACUGACGCUGAGGUGCGAAAGCGUGGGGAGCAAACAGG
rnacentral:rRNA from 1 species